rnacentral:misc_RNA from 1 species
GAUGAAGAACGUAGUGAAAUGCGAUAAGUAGUGUGAAUUGCAGAAUUCAGUGAAUCAUCGAAUCUUUGAACGCACAUUGCGCCCCUUGGUAUCCCGAGGGGCAUGCCUGUUCGAGCGUCAUUUCACCACUCAAGCCUGGCUUGGUGUUGGGCGACGCCCCCUUUGGGGACGCGCCUCGAAACGCUCGGCGGCGUGGCACCGGCUUUAAGCGUAGCAGAAUCUUUCGCUUUGGAAGUCGGGGCCCCGUCUGCCGGAAGACCUACUCGCAAGGUUGACCUCGGAUCAGGCAGGGAUACCCGCUGAACUUAAGCAUAUCAAUAAGCGGAGGA